GGAUCGCCAUAGGAACCACCAGGAAUUGUUAAGAGGGUGUCACCACCAUCGCCAUCCCAAAAUUGCAAGGAGGGCUGGCAAUACCACCGAGGUUGAUUACUGGACGUCGGGGAUCGCCGCCGAAGUCGCCAAGUAUUGCCAGAUCACCACCGAGGAGGGCCACUAGACAACGAGGUUCGCUGUCGGAACCACCAGGAAUCGUCGCCCAAAAUUGUCAAGAGGGCCUCACCACCAUCGAAGAGGAUGCUGGACAUCGAGGAUCGCCGCUGGAGUAACAAGAUCGUCAUAAUGGAUGCUUCAGGUAUAUGAUUUAUACGUCUACGUGUUUAACCGUGUUUUAUUUUGUGUAUUUAGGAUGGCCAACAUCACCACCGAAGAGGGCAACUGGACAACGAAAAUUGCCGUCCGAGGCAUCAGGAUCGUCGUCUAAAAUUGUCAAGAGGACGCCAUCAUCGCCAAAGAGGGACCACUGGACAACGUGGUUCGCCGUGGGAUCCACCAGGAUUAUCGUCCAAAAUUAUCAAGAGGGCAGGACCACCAUCGAAGAGGAUGCUGGGCAUCGAGGAUCGCCGCUGUAGCAACGAGAUUGUCGGCAUAGAGGGCCCCACCAUCACCGAAGAGGGCGCUGGAGUACCGAUAUCGUCGCCGUGGAUGUUUCAGGUAUAUCGUUUACUCGUUUAAUUGUCGAUUCAUAUUUUUUUCAUGUAUUUAGGAGGGCUUCAUCUUCGCUGAAGAGGAUUACUAGACAACGAGGUUCAACGUCGGAGCUACUAGGAUUGUCGCCCAAUAUUGUCAAACGGGCGCAAUCUCGCCGAAGACGAUCACUGGCCAACGUGGUUGGCCGUAGAAGUCACCAGUAUCGUCGGCCAAAAUCGUCAAGUGGGCUGCACCACUAUCGAAGAGGAUGCCGGACAUUGAGGGUCGUCGCUGGAGGAACGACAUUGUCCGCAAUGGAGGUUUUAGAAGGGUUCCGUCGUCGCCGAAGAGGACUACUGGAUGUCGUGGAUCGUCGUUGGAGCAACGGGAAUCGCCGCCCAUCCCCGAGAUACACGCCCAUUAGGUCGAUGGAGGAAAAAAGAUGG